rnacentral:rRNA from 1 species
UACGGAGGGAGCUAGCGUUGUUCGGAAUUACUGGGCGUAAAGCGCACGUAGGCGGCUUUGUAAGUUAGGGGUGAAAGCCCGGAGCUCAACUCCAGAACUGCCUUUGAUACUGAAGAUCUUGAGUUCGGGAGAGGUGAGUGGAACUGCGAGUGUAGAGGUGAAAUUCGUAGAUAUUCGCAAGAACACCAGUGGCGAAGGCGGCUCACUGGCCCGGUACUGACGCUGAGGUGCGAAAGCGUGGGGAGCAAACAGG